rnacentral:lncRNA from 1 species
UUUAUUUUAGAACAAUAUUAUUAAAUUUUUGGGGUGUGACGUUCGCUUCCUUAGCUCGUGCCACCGAAGCGUCGCCGUGAAGUUGAGAGGUAGAAAAGGGUUGGAGAGCGAGCGCACCCGAGAGUUCGAACAUUUUUGGGUAUGUGGAGCCCUGAUUCCCACAUUUGGUGCGCCAAGGGGGGGUGCACAUCCGCUCUUCAGCUCCAGUUUUGCUCUGGCUUCACCUACCCCAUGGCCGACGCUCACUCCAUGCCCCCCGGGAGC